AGAGAGCGAGACACAGAGAAUUUAGAUGAAAUAAUUUCAAUUCUGUUUCAGCCCCGGGCAAAUCGCCCGUAUUUCCAGUCGAAACCGCAAAUUGAAACCGGAAUAAUGUGAUUGGAGUUCGCAGAAGAUAUCAGGAAAAAUACAAUCAGCUUUAGCGAGUAUUACAAAUAUUAGUUAUUCGUUAUUUAGCUAUGGGUAUUUACAUAUGCACACAUUGAUAUAUACAUACAUAUAAUAUUUCCAUAUUAUAUAUAGUUGCAUGUAACAAAAAAUUGACUAAGCCCCUUUUUGGCAUCAGUACGCAGGGAAAUCGUAUAAGUAUUAGUUUAUGCCUUAUCAACUUUGCACGUGCUCCGCUUGUAUCUAUAGAUAUACAAUCUGUGCUUUUGGCGUCAGCAUGAGCCGCACAUCGAUUAGAGCUGCAUUAGUCAGCCCUUAUCACAGAGCUCUUAUCGGAUAGCGCGCCUCAGACAAUUAUUACAUGCGGACAGAAAUCAUGACCCAGUUUCAACAUUUCUGAUUGGUCUUUAAUUUUUGUUGUUAUAUAUUUAAAAAUAUUAAAGCGCAUUUUUGGUUUUUGUU